ensembl:lncRNA
GUAAGUAUCCACUGUAUCCAUGGAAAUGGGUGAGCUCACUGGAAAAGUGCAUUGUGGGAGAAGAGGAGCAUGGUCAGAGACUUGAGGACACUGAGUUACACAGACCGGCAGAGGGAAGGUUGUCAAAAAUAGGAGACAGAAGUAGUGGCAGAGAUGGAGGAAAACCAGGUGACUAUGGCUUAACAGACGGCAAGUAAAGAGAGCACUCCAAGCAGACAGGAACAGUGAACAGUGUGAAAUGCUCAGAGGUUAAGUCAAGUAAGAAAUGAGAAUGGUUCACUAGAUUUAGCAUCAGUGGGGUAGGAAUUAUAACUCAGGAUGAAAGCAGUUUCUGAAGACAGGUGUGAGAAGAGGCAGACUGUGGUUAGUCAAAGGGGAAGAGAAGUGAGGACGUCAUAGAGAAUGUAAAAAGUUAUUUCAAGAACUUGGUCUGUGAGGGAAAAGAGAGGAACUGAAGAAAAGUAUGGGGUACAGGAUGGAAGGCAAGGGUUGGAGGAGAUUUCUUUUCUCUCUCUUUUUUUGUCUUUGACAUGAAAGAUACUGGAGGACAUUGAAAUGGGAGGAACCUAGUGAAAAUGCUGGCAUAUAGAAAAGAGAUGUCAUUGUUGGAGGGAAGUUCCUGAGGGGACCCAGAGUGAUGAGAGCAGAGGCACAGGGUAGAAGCUAACCCUAGGGGAAGCAUAUUCCUCUAUUCCUAGCACAGGAAUAGAAAAGGGGUGGCAGGAAAUUGUAUGUAUUCUCUUCUGGGUCAUCUAUUUUCUUAUGAAUCAGCAGUCAAGAUCACCUGAAGCACUGUUUCCAAGCUCUGUUUCCCAGCAUCCAUGAACUAAGCAACUUUACUCUGCUAUGACUUCCCACCGUAAUGUUUCUGCCUUGGAACCAGCAGACCAUGGACCGAGUACUCUGAAACCAUGAGCUAAAUAAACCUCUUCUUUACAUUGUAAGUAUCAGACAUUUGGUCCCAGUAACAGGAAAGGUGACACAGAGGUUCAACUAGUUUCAUACCUUGCUCCAGGCUGUUAGUGAACAAAAGGUAGAAGUGAAACUAAGUGUACCCUUCCUCACUCCAGUUCAGUACUCUACAGCCCUCCAUUCAUAGGACUGUCAAUCCCUCAGUUACUUCAACCCCUCUGAGAGAUGCCAGUGCAGCAGUUUUAACAUUGCUGAACAAUGAAUUCAUAUAUUUUUGAACAAUAAGCUGAUAUAUUUUUUAUUCUAAAAGUAUAGCUUCUCCUGACUGAUGUAUCAGAUAAGGCAAGUUGGGGCGAAUACCACCUAUCUUGGAAAUGGUUUGGGGGCACUUUGUCACAGUGGCUGAAGUACUACUGGCAUUUAGUAGGUGAAAGUCAGGGACAUUAAAUAUCUAACAAUGCCUUGAACAGUCCUACCCAACAAAGAAUUCUCCUACCCAAGUGCCAGUGCAGUUCCUAUUAAGGAACACUAGUAGAACAAUGCAAUAGACCGUCUCCAAGGCAACUCCCCAAGUUCCCAUAUCCAGGAAUUUGCAGUCUUGUGGAGUUCUCCUACAUUGUACUAAGGAUGAUCUGGUGGACCUGUAGUAAUAAUGAAUAUGACAGAAGUAAUAAUGAAUCACAUCUAAGAUUAAUUUAUAAAAGAUUGUACCUUCUGUCUUGGUCCCUGUCUCUCUUUCGCCCAUCAUUCCACGUGGGGGAAACUGUGUUAUGAGCAUCCCUGUAAAAAGCUGCUGAAGAGCUGAAGCAUCCUGCCAAGAACCACGUGUGUGAGCUUCAAAAUGAAUCCUCCAGUCUCAUUCAUGUCUUCAGAAACUAUAGUCCUGGUCAGCAGUUUGACAGCAAACUCAGGAGAGAGUCUUAGCCAACUACGUUCAAACUAUGGGAGAUUAGAAAUGUUUUAAGUUGCUAAUUUGGGGGCAUUUCCUUAUAUAGCAAUAGAUGAUUAGUGUAAACCAUAAAGCUAUGGUUUAGCUUAAUCUGUCUGUCUUUAUCUAUCUGUCUCUAUCUUAGGUCACAGCAACACUAGUCCUGAUAGCCAGGCUUUGUAGACUCAGCCCAUAGGGAUCUAAUAUGCGUCAUGGGAACAAUAACAGGAUAUGACACAACAGAAGCUUGUGACUACCUAAGAUGAAAGGGGAAGCAGAAGCUCUUUGAGAGGAAGACAAAAAGAUAAGGGAAAGAGAAGAAAAGGAAACAUUCAACUAUUUGGGUCCUAGCUUCUGCCUAUGGGGCCACUGUACAUUGUUGUGCAAUUUGUUCAUUGUGUAUGUGUGUACUUGGCCAAAGAGUCAAGAGGAGAUGGAUAUCCAGGCAAUCCCCCACCCACCAAGAUUUGCAACCUAGCCCAGGUUACAUCUUCCUGAGAGGUGUCACUUUCUAAUUUUCAUAAGAGAUUUGUAUUAGUUUCCUAAAGCUUCUAUAAAAAACUCACAAAUUAGGUGAGUUAAAACAACAAAACUUUAUUCUUCUACAACUCUGGAAGCUAGAGACCUAUAAUCUAUUAUAAUUCCAAAUAACAUCAUCUCACCUUACCUUAAAGGCAAGAAAAUAGUCUUUCUCAAACAAGUCAGCAGAUUUUCAACAGAUUUCAAGAUUUUCACAUUGCUUUUCAUGCUAACUCUUUAGAGAUGGAAAGAGGUGCUAUAGUGCACCAAAGAGCAAUGAAAGAAGAAUAAAUUUAUGAAUGUAUAAAAAUUUACAAAGACCACCAUAGAGAGGGAAAGGCCAUUUCCCUACUAUCAUAAUCUAUUCACAGCAAGGUGUGAUAGAAAAUAUAGGACUUGGAAUCACAAUAUAAGAUUAUGAAACCCAUUUCUGUCCUUUAGUACCUUUGUGAUCUUGUAGGAGUUAUUGAACUUCUCUGAAUCUUAGCUUUCUCAUCCAUAAGAUGGAAAUUACAAUAUUAAAACUAUGUGUAUCACAGAGUUUCUGUAAGAGUUCUGUGAAAGACACACUAUUUGUGGGUAAUGCCCAAAACCACUACUGAUACUGCACAGGCAGUAAUAUAGUGCUGAGCAGCUCACACAUAAAACAAGAAACAAGUCUUUCACGGUAAAACAAAAGCUUCAGAGAAUGUAGUAGCUAGAACCAGCAUCCAAAUGGCACACAAAUUAGCAACCAGCAGCUGCUCCUGUGUUUUCAGUAACAGCCGUGCAGCAAACUCUGACACCUUAGAGACAGAUGACAGGAGAGAAUACAGACCAGACCCCACCAGCUGAGGCUUAUCAACGGUACCUUAAUGAGAAGAUACUGAAGAGUGAUAACAAAAGUUCCUUAAUGAGAAGGAACUGAAGAGUGAUAACAGAAGUUUGGUUACAAAACCCUAUUACUUUCAGACCUAUUAUUUUCAAUGCAAUCCAUGGACCAGGCAGCAGCAUCACCUGGAGAGAAGCUUCUUGGAAAUACAGUAUGGCAAGCUCUGCCCCAGACAUGCAGAUUCAGACCCUGCCUUCUAACAAUGGCCACAGAUCAGCAGAAACAGAUCAGCAGCACCCUUUGGAGAUUGGCAUGGUAAUGAAAACCUUUCUGGGUCAGAGGACGCUGCAUUCUAGAAGAGCACCUAUUAACUUCCCUGUUCAUGUGAGCAGCCUGGAAUGAGAAAAGGAAGAAAAGGGCACAAAAUACAGAAUACCAAAACAUGGAUCCUGGUAAGCUCAAAGAACGCCGAUGGAUGAUAAGGCUCUGAAAGAUGGACAGAGGUAAUGUAUGAAGCAAUGGUAUGUGAGGUUAUUGGGCAAGUCAGAGUUGCUUCUGCCACAUCCAACAAGUGAACACCACAAGUGACCAGCCCACAUCAGUUCCUUUGAGUUCAUGGUAAGAGAUCAUUUUCCUUUGUAAAAUUCUGUAACACAUAACCAUCUAUGGCUCUUCCAUUCUAUCAAAUACCACUGGCUCUAAAACAGAGGGGGCUGGAGCAGCCCUUCUGUACUUAGAGGUACUUGAGAACUGUAUCAUUUCUAAUUAUAAGAAGAGGACUCAUUAAUUAUAGACAAGGACAGUUUGUGGAGUUCUAAUAUUUACUGUGCUCCAAGAAAUCUGUUCUAAGGACUUUGCCAUCUAAUCAUCAGUCCUCUCAGCAAUGAUAUAAUCAAAAGGAAUGUGCACACUAAACCCCUGGACUAGUAGUCAUCUAUGCUCUUCAAAAAGAUAUCCAAUAAUACAGGUGAUAUCUCCACCAAUAAAUAUAAAAUUAACAAUUUAGGCAUUCAUUGAGAAUCUAAAAUUUAUUUUAAUAGACUUCUUAUUUACUUUUCUCAUUGCUGAGACAAAAUACUCAACAUCCACAAAUUGCAAGAGGAAAAGUUUAUUUCAGCUCAGUUUGUAGAGGUUUCAGUCCAUAGUUGGCUGGCUCCAAGGCACGGAAGCAUGACAGAGAGGCUUUGCAGAGGAGAAACAGUCCAUGGUAUGGUAGACACAAAGCAGUAAGCAACAUCAGAAGAAGCAGCAGGAGCAGCAGCACCAGCAAGCCCCUCUUUCCCUUUUAUCUCACCCAGGCUACAAGCCUUUUGGGUGGUGCCAGCAAACCCAGGGUGGGCCUUACCAUUAUCCGCACUCAAACCUAUGCUAACUCCAAUCAGUGGACUAAUUUAGUAGCACAUACCCUUAAUCCCAGUACAAGACACCCUAGAUCCAGCUAGUUCCAAAUAGCCCCAUCUAUGAGUGUGUGAGGGUUUGGAAGGACAUCUAGAUACAAUAAUAACAGAGGAUCAUAUCAAACUGUGUGGAGAACAGUAGGUUUUAUUUAUAAACAUGAAAAAUCUUACUUUUCUUUUUUUUUAAUUUUUAAGGUAGAAAUUCUGAUGAGCUUGGAUAUUCUCAAGUCUUACUUUGCUUGGAGGAUGAAGUGACACACAGAACAUUGGAAUGCUGCCUCAUUCACAUACGGCUUACCUUGCAUGCAUUCUAACAGCAAUGUGCAAGAAGCAGAGACUGGCAAAUUCACAAAUAUAUAGGGAUUUGAGAUUUCCCAUGCAAGUUAUUCCAGAAAUGCCAAGUAUUUUGUUUAUGACAAAACAAGAACUAAAAUGUUGACUGCCAUUUUCACCACCAGAGAGAAAACAGAGUGACAGGCUUUCAUGUUUUUGAUAAAAUAGGCAAAAGGGGAAUAGUCAUUAAUCUUGCUGAAGCUCUGUAAUAUAAAAUUAUUUAGGUGGCUGUGAAAGGAAAUUAAAUAUGCUAUAGAGAAAAAAAACAUAGCUUUUAGGGAGAUCUGCUGCUUUUUAAAAGACGAGUCUGUGAUUCUACAAUAAUGACAUAAAAGCCGAAAUGCUAUUUCCUAGUCUAUUACAUUUUAGCUGUCACUGAAACUAAAGUAAUGGAAAAGUUAUAUUUCUGUGUGUAAAGUAACUACAAAUUAUCCAUUCAUCACAAAACAUUUUAUCCUUUAUCUAUUUAGAUAUAAUUGUAGUCUUGCUCUUUUAAAUUUUAGAGAACAGGAUGUUGGUUAAUAAAAAUUCCAGUUAAAUAUUUUUUUGGUUAUUCUUGGUCUUAUUCUGUCUCUUAUUCUUUAGUCCUAAACUGGGCAGAAAUCAUGUGUCCCAGUGACAUAAAUUUUCUUUCCCCAAAUUAGCAGGUUUAAUAACUAAAAUCUCCAUUGUUUUUAUAAUCCUUUGGCAUUGUCAGUCAGUAAAAGUUUUGUGCAAUACACUAUCAGAUGUGCUGAAUCUACAUAGAUUAGUAAUAUACUAG